rnacentral:ncRNA from 1 species
AAGGUUCUGAGGACGGAACGGGCAGCCGUCGCUGGAUAGUCGAAAGACUUGAUUAAGAGAUGCAGGAAUGUCACCCUGCCAAACCUU